rnacentral:rRNA from 1 species
GAUGAACGCUGGCGGCGUGCCUAAUACAUGCAAGUCGAGCGAACGGACGAGAAGCUUGCUUCUCUGAUGUUAGCGGCGGACGGGUGAGUAACACGUGGAUAACCUACCUAUAAGACUGGGAUAACUUCGGGAAACCGUAGCUAAUACCGGAUAAUAUUUUGAACCGCAUGGUUCAAAAGUGAAAGACGGUCUUGCUGUCACUUAUAAAUGGAUCCGCGCUGCAUUAGCUAGUUGGUAAGGUAACGGCUUACCAAGGCAACGAUGCAUAGCCGACCUGAGAGGGUGAUCGGCCACACUGGAACUGAGACACGGUCCAGACUCCUACGGGAGGCAGCAGUAGGGAAUCUUCCGCAAUGGGCGAAAGCCUGACGGAGCAACGCCGCGUGAGUGAUGAAGGUCUUCGGAUCGUAAAACUCUGUUAUUAGGGAAGAACAUAUGUGUAAGUAACUGUGCACAUCUUGACGGUACCUAAUCAGAAAGCCACGGCUAACUACGUG